ensembl:lncRNA
AUGGCCCCGAACCCCCUGCUGCCGCCAGACACUGACACCACGCGGGACCCCUCUGCUGCUGUCCCCCAGCCUGGCAGCGCCUCCACCGCAACCCCACAGGUCCCCGAGUCCCCCCGCAGCCUCUCGCCCUGCACGGUGAUAGAGCUGCGGAGCGGGACGUGCCCGCUGCAGCCAGUGACAUCGGGUCACUUGCUGGUGGCCCUGCAGAGUCCCCUUGGUGCCCGGCGGGUGGGAAGACAAGCGAGAGCCAGCGGCCAGCCGCAGCCUGGACCAGGGCAGGGACAAAGCAGUGGCCACUUGGUCACCCCCCUGACAAGCAACUUGUCCCAGGCAGAGCCUCCAGCUGGGGGCUGCCCCCCGCGUGACACCCGGGGGGCCCCGGCACGGCCCCGGUGCCGCCGCAGCAGGGCUGUCCUCCUUAGGGAGCAGAUGACCCAGACCGAGCCCAGCACGGAGGUUUUGCCACCCCCGCGGGUUGAUGUGAAGACCCAGCUGCCCACACCCCCAGCCCCGCAGCGAACCCCCCCUGCUGCCCACCCCACCAGCAGCUCCCCAUCCCCACCACCGGCACCACGCAGCCCCGCGGCCAUCGCUAACACCGAGCCGUCCCGCAGGGCCACGCAACAACCCAGGGGCAAAUCCAGCUACCGGUGCAUGCUGCACCGGGCCUCCCCCGAGCCUGGCACCACGCCGGGCUCCUCGCCCCUGGAGCCCCUGCCAGCCCAGCCCGGCACGGGGGCCUCAGCCCUGUGGGGGAGCAGGGGGGUGCGGAGGGCGGAGGGCCGUGCCGAGGAGCAGGAGGAGUACCACUGCGCCCUGCACCGCGCGGCCAAGCAGCUGUGGCGAGUGGUGGAGGCGGAGGUGGCCCACGGGGGCUACUGGCCCACGACACCUUCCCGACCGUCACCUCCCAUGAGGGACAAGGGCACCCAGACCAAACCCGUGCCCGUGCCCCCACACCCCACUGAGCGCUCCCUCAAGGACUCCCAUGCCCCUGGUAGGGACUACCAGGGCCCAGCUGUCCCCCUGCCCCCAGGGCUCUCCAGGGAUGUCCCCGCUGCCAGGGCACUGCCCAAGCCUGGCCCCGACUCGGCUUGGUGGCCCCUGGUGCACCCAGAGCAGCAGGUGGCCCCGCGUCCCGUGUCCCCACCGAUGAGGCCGAAUGCCACCCAGAUUGGCUCUUUGGAGCUGGGUGCCAUCACUGAGGUCAUGGCGGGCAGAGGUGGCUCCAGCAAGGACAUGGCCGAGCUGGCACCAUGCGGCAGAGCCCCUGCCACCACCGUCCCACAGGAGGUGACGUCCACGAGCUUCCCCUCCGGCUGUGACAGUGACGAUGGGGACGUGGCAGGCAGGGAGCUGGAGGCCUCUGGACUUAGGACUUUCUUCAUGGAUCUGGCCGACGAGAGGCAUGCCGACCUCCUCUGGUCCCUGAAAGGUGAGGCCGGCCCCUCGUGGCAGUUUGUGUAGGGCCUACAUAAACACAGCGUUCUGAUCCCAGCUAUAUAAGCUCAGGUCCCUCGGCCACCGGGCCCGGGCAGGCUGCAGGGCCCUCUCUGCUGCCGUUUGAGCUUCCCCACCACAUCGCUGCCUCCCUGCCCCUCUCUGCGGCAGUGACACACCGACACACCGUGCCACCCAAACCGUGCCCUGUGCUGGCGCUGGCCUGGAUGGGGGGUCUGGGGGGGCUUGGGGGGACAUCCAAGGAGCCCUAGAAAUCCUCAGCUGCUACUGAUGGAAAAACUUGCUUUUCCUCUCUCUGGCUGUUGUCCUCUGCCUGCUCCGGUGCCGACCCCUCCCUGGCUGUGGCUCCAGAUGCAGAGGUAAGCGAUGGCCUGGCUGAGGUGACACCGGGUGCUGCCAAUUCCCCACUGCCACUGCGUCCCCAAACCGGGGAGAGGAGGGGUCAGCACCAUCUGCUGAACACUUUGCAGAGGAUUUUUGGGGGCCAAUGGCAUGUGAUGAAGUGUGGGAAGGCUCAGGGGGUGGCACAGAGCUCACCCCAUGCUUGAUCCCCCCAGAGGACCCGUGCCCUGGUCCGGAGCUGGCUGCAGAGGGGCAGCCUGAGGGGCUCAGCACAAGGAUGUGGAGAUGCCGGUGUGUGGGUUUGGGUGUCUUCGAGACCCUGGUGCAGUGUUUCAGGGGCUGUUGGUUGCCCUGCAGGGAUCCAGCACAGGGAGCGACCCAGGCACUUGGGUGGCACCCCGGGGUGCACAAUGCGGCUCAUCCUCCUCACGCUGGGAAAAAGGAGUGUGCUCCCAGCCUGGACGUUGCUUGGCUGUCUCAGGGGGUCUUCCGAGGCUGCAAAGUGCCGUGGGCACGUGUCGGCAUCCUUCCAAGGCUGUAUCCUGUGGGAAGCACUGGGAAGUUUGCUUUGAACCCUCAGGGAUGGCUAGGUGGUGACCCCGGCAGGCAUUCCUCUGCCGAGCCUCCGUGCUGGCGAGGCCCCAAAAAAUGGACCCGUUGCAACAAAAAUAGCUAAAAAUAAGUGGUUCUCACGGAGGAUGCUGUGAGCAGCUUUGCAGCCUCUGAACCUGCCAGUGUGAGAGGAGGGGGCUGACCCUGUGGCAUGGGCACUCAGCCCUGGCCCCGUGUGCUGUGCAUGGGUGGGCUGGGGGCAGCACCCCCUUGGGAAGCCCACCGAGGAGCCAAGGACCCGUCUCGGUGCGGUGCUGGGGGAAUGGGAGCAGAGAGGAGGGUGCGGGCGGGGGGAGCGGGCAGGCAAGGGGUUAACGGCCCCACGCCCGCCGGAUGCAGCAUCCUGGGAUGGGCUCUUUCCAUCUUGUUUUGGUUUGGAGGAAUAAAAGCUUUGGCAGCGCAUAGCCUCUUCCCA